rnacentral:rRNA from 1 species
UACGGGGGGGGCAAGCGUUGUUCGGAAUUACUGGGCGUAAAGCGCGCGUAGGCGGCUCUUCAAGUCGAGUGUGAAAGCUCCAGGCUUAACCUGGGAAUUGCGCUCGAUACUGUUGAGCUAGAGUGUGGAAGGGGCUACUGGAAUUCCGUGUGUAGCGGUGAAAUGCGUAGAUAUACGGAGGAACACCAGCGGCGAAGGCGGCUAGCUGGGCCAACACUGACGCUGAUGUGCGACAGCUAGGGGAGCAAACGGG